rnacentral:rRNA from 1 species
UACGGGUGGCAGCAGUGGGGAAUAUUGCACAAUGGGCGCAAGCCUGAUGCAGCCAUGCCGCGUGUAUGAAGAAGGGCCUUCGGGGUUGUAAAGUACUUUUCAGUCGUGAGGAAGGUGUUAAGGUUAAUAACCUUAGCAAUUGACGUUAGCGACAGAAGAAGCACUGGCUAACUCCGUGCCAGCAGCCGCGGUAAUACGGAGGGUGCGAGCGUUAAUCGGAAUUACUGGGCGUAAAGGGCACGCAGGCGGUUAAUUAAGUUGGAUGUGAAAUCCCCGGGCUUAACCUGGGAAUGGCAUUCAAGACUGGUUAGCUAGAGUCUUGUAGAGGGGGUAGAAUUCCAUGUGUAGCGGUGAAAUGCGUAGAGAUGUGGAGGAAUACCGGUGGCGAAGGCGGCCCCUGGGACAAAGGACUGACGCUCAUGUGCGAAAGCGUGGGGAGCAAACGAGGGAUUAGGAU